GCCCGCCUAGCUCAAUCGGAUAGAGCGUCAGACUCUUACCACUAGGCGAUAUAUAUAUAUAUAUAUAAUCUGAAGGCUGCGAGUUCGACCCUCGCGGUGGGCU